rnacentral:rRNA from 1 species
UACGUAGGGUGCGAGCGUUGUCCGGAAUUAUUGGGCGUAAAGAGCUCGUAGGCGGUUUGUCGCGUCGGCCGUGAAAACUUGGGGCUUAACCCCAAGCCUGCGGUCGAUACGGGCAGACUUGAGUUCGGCAGGGGAGACUGGAAUUCCUGGUGUAGCGGUGAAAUGCGCAGAUAUCAGGAGGAACACCGGUGGCGAAGGCGGCAUCCUGGACCGACACUGACGCUGAGGAGCGAAAGCCAGGGGAGCAAACGGG